GCACCCGUAGCUCAGUUGGAUAGAGCGCUGCCCUCCGAAGGCAGAGGCCAGAGGUUCGAAUCCUCUCGGGUGCG
rnacentral:tRNA from 2 species